rnacentral:tRNA from 1 species
AGAGCGGUCCGCUCAUAACGGAUUGGUCGUCGGUUCAAGUCCGACCGGGCGCA